ensembl:lncRNA
CACAGCCUCGGCUCUGACUUCUAGCACCAGACGUUACACGGGCCUGUUCUAGACCUUUGUACGUGUGGACGCGUGCCGUACGCAGUCUGAGUCUGCCUUCUCUCACCCAGGUGGCGCGUUUGAGGUCCGCCCCUGCCGCUGGAGUCAGAGCUGCGCCCUCUCUCUUACUGAGUGCUGGUCCACGUAUGACGGACGGGUGACGGAGUGUUUAUCCAGCUUCCUGCUGAGGGACACCUGGUUGUCCCCAGUUUUUGGCGAAUGUGAGGGAAGCUGCUAGGAACGUCCCGGUAACACACGUCCUGUCUUUUUCUCUGGGGAGGUGGGGGCUGCCAGAGGGUUCUGAGCAGAGGAGGGACGUGGUCCGCCUUGGGCUAGCCUCUGACUGCCGGGCUGAGACAGGACUCAGGGCCGGGGUGCAGGCUGGGCCGGGCCGCAGUCCUGUGAUGGAGCCUGCAGCACAGUCCACAGGUGGGCCUCGGGGCUUCUCGCUCAGCUCAGAGAUAGGCUGCCCGAGAGGGGUCCAGGAAAAGCCGUUUCCUCUCAUCUGUAGAACGGGAGGAGCCCUCAUUUAUUCCCAGCACGUGGUGCAUCCCCUCUCCUUCCACGUCACAGCCCCGGUCCCUGCAGGGCCCUCGUUUGUCUCAGGUUGCCUCCAGAGCGGGCAGCGGAGCAGAGGGCCCCGUGCGCAGGUGUUAUGCUCAUCCCUGCAAGGUGAUGCCUGUCUGCUCUGGUCUGAGGGUUUGUCUCCCCCCAGAUUCAUAUGCUAAUUCCUAACCCCCAAGGUGAUGUGUAUGAGGCGGGACCUUUGGGGGGUGAUUAGGUCAAGAGGGUGGAGCCUCGUGAAUGGGAUUAGUGCUCUUAUUAAAGGGACCCCGGAGAGCUCCCUUGCCCCUUCUGCCCUGUGAGGAGGCACAGCAAGAAGAUGCCGUCUAUGCACCAGGAAGCAGGUCCUCACCAGACACCGAAUCUGCCGGGGCCUGGAUCUCAGCCUCCAGCCUCCAGAACUGUCAGCAAUAAAUGUCCGUCGUUUAUAGGUCACCCUGUCUACGGUGUGCAAGCAGACUGAGACAGCACCGUUACGGAGUAACUGCAGGCUUCACAUAAGAGAUGAAGCGAGAAGGCGUCCAGGCUUCCCUUCGGACCCCUACCUCCCGAGACAGAACUGAGGCCCCGUGUGCUUGGAGGGAAAGGAUGCUCCGGGCUGGCUGGGCUCCCUGGUGGACCCAGAGCACAGGCUGUGGUCUCCGCUUGGAGAUGGUUGUGCUGCCGGAAGAAGCAGCUGGUCUUUUGUUGGAGAAGAAACAUGGGGAUGAUGAGCACAGGUGGCCAACGUCGUCAUGGAGGGACUCGGUCUCUCUCCGCAGCAUCCAGAGCAGAGGAAGGAGCUCGGGGUAGAAGGCCGGUCCUGGUCCUGAAGCCACCCUGUUCCUGAGGGUCCUUCAUCGCUGCUCGUGUCCUUGCAGGAGGACAUGGUGCUUGGGCCCUACAACGCCCGGAGGAGCUGCCGGGAUGCCGAGCGCCUUGCAAGGGAACCGGAGCCAGAGUGAUGGGCGUCCUGGGGGCUCCUGGUGUGGAAAGGGCCUCUGUCGGCCGCCUGCUGGCAGCUGCUUUGUCUCCCUCCACUGGUUCUCUGCUCUGACUCCAUUUCUAAGGCUUUUCUUAAAUCAGCCCCUGGCAGGUUCCAAAUCAGAGGUUUGUAAAAUUCUUUCAGUGAUAUCCCAAGAUGAAAAAGCUCCUGGUUGGUCCUGAGAUGAGGAUGUUUGGACUGGCCGUGACACCCUUUUCUGGCCAGAGGCCUGUUCUACUGCCGCAAAUUCCCUGGGGCCUGUGAUGAAGCCAGCCCUGCUGGGCCUGUCCCCGAGGAGGAUCCUGACGUGCGGGUCCCACAGCUGAUUCGGUCAUAGAGGACAACUUCCAUC